GAAAUAUAUAUCUCAAUGAGGUCACAAUUUUAUAGUGCAUACUUACGUUUUGCAAUGAUAUUUUCAUUUUGCCAAUUCACCGACAUGAUCUCAGCCCCAGCAGGAGGUUGGUUCCUGAUUCAAGGAAAAGGAAAAGAGGGUUUAACAUUCAUUUUAAUGCGAACAUUUAUUCAUUUUUAGUAUCUGCACUGUUACACUAGCUUCACUUAAUUAUGGGAAUAGAAGCAGGUUUAGAAUUCCCUGGAGGAGCUUGCUCUUUUUUCUUUUUAGACUUACUCUCUUCAUCUUCUCAACUGCUCCUCCCUUAGUCUUUUCAUUUUUCUUGAGAAUGCUUAUUCUUACCCUUAGAAAUGAGCACAUCUUGGCAAGGAUUUAAGUACUAAAAAUGUGUGAACUUUGUUUUUUUGGUUUUUUUUCUUUUCCCUCAUCUUUUCCUCUGUGGAUUGAUAGUUAAAUGCAGCAGGUUUCCCACUGUGUGAUGAGUGGAGUACAUGAACCCAAAGGUUAUGCCUGGCUGUGCCUUAGGGAUACAACUUGGAGAUGUAGAGUGUGAAAGAUGCAUCAAGUCCUCCAGAAUGAGACAUUCUGCAAGCUUCUGGAAGCUGUCCCAAAUUCACAAAUGUUUUCAGAUUCUGCAAAAGUGAGACCCCUAUGGUGGAAGGAGCUCUGGGAAUGCAGCAGCUUAAUGAGCAGGAAGAUGAAGGAGAUAAAUAUCAGAGCAAGCACUACUGGUGUGCUGAGAAGAUAAUUACAUCUGGUGUCUGUAACCCAGAAUGGUAAAACUCUCAACUAGAGAAUGCCAAAUAGCCACAAAAUGUGUUCUUGAUACGAGAUUCUACAGGACAGGAGCCCAAACCACCAAGGCACAGGAAAGGGAUAUGGCUGUGUCCACCUGAGACAUGGAAACUGAGGAUCACCAAUGCCAGAAAUGCAAGUAUUCAAUUUUUGAGACAGCUGAAGAGACAAUAGAGGAAGUUACUUGCAAUACAUUUCAGUACAAGUUAAAGACUUUGUGGUUAUUUAAAUUAUUCUAAAUUACUGAAAGAUUAUGGACCACGCUUAAGAUGAGUACUUCUUUUGCAAAAAUACAUUAACUAUAGCAAAUUAAAUUUGCC
rnacentral:lncRNA from 1 species